rnacentral:rRNA from 1 species
AGGACGAACGCUGGCGGCGUGCUUAACGCAUGCAAGUUGAGCGGAAAGGCCCUUUUGGGGGUACUCGAGCGGCGAACGGGUGAGUAACACGUGAGUAACCUGCCCUGGACUUUGGGAUAACCCUCGGAAACGGGGGCUAAUACCGGAUAUGACUUGGCCUCGCAUGGGGGUUGGGUGGAAAGUUUUUUUCGGUCUGGGAUGGGCUCGCGGCCUAUCGGCUUGUUGGUGGGGUGAUGGCCUACCAAGGCGACGACGGGUAGCC